CUGGUAGUCCACGCCGUAAACGAUGAAUGCCAGCCGUUAGUGGGUUUACUCACUAGUGGCGCAGCUAACGCUUUAAGCAUUCCGCCUGGGGAGUACGGUCGCAAGAUUAAAACUCAAAGGAAUUGACGGGGGCCCGCACAAGCGGUGGAGCAUGUGGUUUAAUUCGACGCAACGCGCAGAACCUUACCAGCCCUUGACAUCCCGGUCGCGGACUCCAGAGAUGGAGUUCUUCAGUUCGGCUGGACCGGAGACAGGUGCUGCAUGGCUGUCGUCAGC
rnacentral:rRNA from 1 species